AAUUGUUUCAUUUCUGUUCUGAGGCUUUCCUUUCCUUCAACCUUCCGCCCCUGAAACUUUCCUAGUCUGGUUCACUCCUCCCAUCGUAUCGUGCUUGCUCCUCAGCGUACUCAGGAACUCCCAUAUCCAGGUAUAUUUCUUCUCUUCUUCUUAGCAUUUCUGUUGCUAUAAUAUGUGCAAGACUAUUUGCCGAUCUUGGUGUAUGUUGGAAUCUGAUAUUAUCAAGUCCAUA
rnacentral:lncRNA from 1 species